AUAAUAGCUUCCUCUAUUGCUUAAUUACUCUCUCUCUCUGUUCUUCCCGUCCUGCUUAUCGAAGGAGCCGCAAUCCAAAGUCUGAGCAAAGCAAAUUCGCUCAGCACGAGUGGGUGAUCCUUCUCUCCAUUUCAAUUUGGGGUUUCUUUUAGAUAUGAGGAUAAACACGCACCAAGUAUUCAAGAGGCGAGCCCAUCACCUGCGGUCGUAUUAGUAGUCAUCGUAAUCGACAGUGGUGGAGGAGUCAGAGUCAUUGGGAUGCAGAGCAAGGUCCAGAGGCAAAAAGCGAGGCGACCCAAUUCCAGUGAUUACUUGUUUAAGCUUUGCUGAUUGGAGACUCUGGGGUUGGAAAGUCGUGUCUUCCUAGAAGUUGUUGAUAUUCUGGCCAUUUAAUCUCUGCAGCAUUUUCUUCCUUUAUACUGCUGUAGCUUGGCUUGCAUAAAUGGGAACUCAUAUGGUAUUGUUGGUAGAAGCAAGGGUAGAAGCUCGGGAGGCUGUGCUAUAACUAGAGGUUUAUAAUACAUAUAGAAGUCGAAGGCAGCAGUGCAUGUGAGAGUUCAAGCAUGGUUUAUUUGCACUAUUUUGCUUUCAGAACUCGAAGGCAGCAGUCCAUGUGAGAGUUCAAGCACGGUUUAUAUCAACAAACUGCAGGAGUUGCCUUUGACUAUUUGCCACUUAAAUAAGAAGGUUGAGUCAAGUAGCACUUGUUCAUGUUCUACUAUUUCAACUUUGGACUUGGGCAAUGGUUUUGUUUUAUGAUAAUUGCUUCUAAAGUAUUAAUCUCUUUUACUUGGAAACAUUGUGUUUUGAACACGUCAUCUUCAAUGCACCAUGCUAUAUUUAAAGGCACUAGUCUAAUGUGCUUUUGAUCUACUGCACAUACAUCAUUUGAAGAAGUUAUCAACAAAAGAAAUAUGGUUUCAUGAAAGGAACAAUGAGUCGGUCGUAUCAUUCAUGUAGUAUAAAGAUUUUCAGCAUGCUUGGGGUAAAGUUAGUCUCUCUUUCCUAUUCUCUAUGAUCAAGAUUGCAUUGUGAUUAGAAUACUAGAUAAACUCUAAUUAAGUUGUGUAUGUUUUCUUGGUAUAUACUUUAAUUGAUUUAUCAAUUUCCAUAUGGAUGUUUCAUGUCUGACCAUUUUUGCUUAUGAUCAGACUACAAAUGGAGAGCGUUGAUCCAGCUCAAUAUGAUAACAGACUUUUAAUUGACAUGAGCAAAUGGUUAUUAUUUUUAUGGAGAUGUCACAUUGUUUUUGUUCUAGAAGAGUAACUUAUUUUGUUAGUGACAAAAUUGAAAGAUGCAAUGAGGUCUCAUGAAAUCUUUUACACUUACCAAUUGUAAUUUCAUCUCUGUUUCAUAAUUGGAGUUGAA